GCGGCCGCCAGGGGAACCGAGCGCCCGGCGCGGAGAGCGCGGGAGCGGAGCAGUAGCCCGAUCCGGGGCCGCAGGCCGAGCUGCCGCAGCGGCUGCUGGAAAGUGUGGUGGUCCUGACCCUGGCUCUGUUGGAGAUCCUGGUGGCCCUGCGGCACAUCCUGAGGCAGACGAAGGAGGACGGUAGGGGUAGCCCUGGCAGCCAGCCAGAGCAGGUGACCCAGCGGCCAGAGGAAGGCAAGGAGAGCCUGAGCAAGAAUCUGCUCUUAGUAGCCCUGUGCCUGACCUUCGGGGUGGAGGUGGGCUUUAAGUUCGCCACCAAGACCGUCAUCUACCUGCUCAACCCCUGUCACCUGGUCACCAUGAUGCAUAUCUUUCUCCUGGCCUGCCCUCCAUGUCGGGGAGCUAUCGUCGUCUUCAA
rnacentral:sRNA from 1 species